UACGUAGGUGGCAAGCGUUGUCCGGAUUUAUUGGGCAUAAAGCGCACGUAGGCGGCUUUCUAAGUCAGGGGUGAAAUCCUGGAGCUCAACUCCAGAACUGCCUUUGAUACUGAGGAUCUUGAGUCCGGGAGAGGUGAGUGGAACUGCGAGUGUAGAGGUGAAAUGCGCAGAUAUCAGGAGGAACACCGGUGGCGAAGGCGGGUCUCUGGGCCGAUACUGACGCUGAGGAGCGAAAGCGUGGGGAGCGAACAGG
rnacentral:rRNA from 1 species